UGGACUUUAUUUGCGCAGCAUAGGUGGGAGGCAUUGAGUUUAUUCUUGCGGGAAUUUAGGAGCCAUCAGUGAGAUACCACUCUGGUAAUGUUAGAUUUCUAACUUUGUAUCAUGAUCUGGUCAAAGAACAGUUUCAGGCGGGCAGUUUGACUGGGGCGGUCGCCUCCCAAAUGGUAACGGAGGCGUACAAAGGUUUCCUCUGAACGUGUAGAAAUCGUAUCUAGAGUGUAAAGGCAUAGGGAAGCUUGACUGUGAGACCUACAAGUCGAGCAGGGACGAAAGUCGGUCUUAGUGAUCUGACGGUGCUGAGUGGAAAGGCCGUCACUCAACGGAUAAAAGUUACUCUAGGGAUAACAGGCUGA
rnacentral:rRNA from 1 species